AUAGGUCACCCGCCACGUCAGACUGCUUUUGCCCACACCUACUGUGAGGGAUUUAGGAACAGAAGCAUCACUAGCCUCCCGCAUAAAGAGUUGACUACGGUCGGUCAUCUGAGCCAAGCCCAGCGACGACGCAGGGGUCUGAAAGGCUCAAGGCAACCUUUAUCUUUCCAGGCACGAUGUCUCUGCUGCUACUCACCACCUCAUUCCCCUCAGCGCUGGGAGCCCCCUCAGGGAUGUCAUGGCAUCCGGCCCCUUCCCCCACCUUCCUGCAGACUGGAAGGGGAGAUUAGGACACAGACACAGAGAGAAGACCCUAUGAAGAUGGCCAUCCACAAGCCCAGGAGGGAGGCUCUCAGAAGAAACCAACCCUGAUUUUGGACUUCUAAACUUCAGAAGGGCUUGCCUAUUCUGGACAUUUCUUACAAAUGGA